rnacentral:rRNA from 1 species
GAUGAACGCUGGCGGCGUGCUUAACACAUGCAAGUCGAACGGAAAGGCUCCUGCUUGCAGGGGUACUCGAGUGGCGAACGGGUGAGUAACACGUGGGUGAUCUGCCCUGCACUUCGGGAUAAGCCUGGGAAACUGGGUCUAAUACCGGAUAGGACGAUGGUUUGGAUGCCAUUGUGGAAAGUUUUUCGGUGUGGGAUGAGCUCGCGGCCUAUCAGCUUGUUGUUGGGGUAAUGGCCUACCAAGGCGUCGACGGGUAGCCGGCCUGAGAGGGUGUACGGCCACAUUGGGACUGAGAUACGGCCCAGACUCCUACGGGAGGCAGCAGUGGGGAAUAUUGCACAAUGGGCGCAAGCCUGAUGCAGCGACGCCGCGUGGGGGAUGACGGCCUUCGGGUUGUAAACUCCUUUCGCUAGGAACGAAGCGCAAGUGACGGUACCUGGAGAAGAAGCACCGGCUAACUACGUG